ensembl:snoRNA
UAGCCUGAAAUGAUGAGUUUGAUUCAUGUCUCUUCUCUGAGAUUUAUGCUGGAGAUAGUCCAGUGACUCUGAUCAGGCGC